rnacentral:misc_RNA from 1 species
GAUGAAGAACGUAGCGAAAUGCGAUACGUAAUGUGAAUUGCAGAAUUCAGUGAAUCAUCGAGUCUUUGAACGCACAUUGCGCCCGCCAGUAUUCUGGCGGGCAUGCCUGUCUGAGCGUCAUUUCAACCCUCACGCCCCUAGGGCGUGGUGUUGGGGAUCGGCCAGCGCCCUCGCGGGCGAGGCCGUCCCCUAAAUCUAGUGGCGGACCCGUCGUGGCCUCCCCUGCGAAGUAGUGAUAUUCCGCAUAGGAGAGCGACGAGCCCCUGCCGUUAAACCCCCAACUUUCUCAGGUUGACCUCAGAUCAGGUAGGAAUACCCGCUGAACUUAAGCAUAUCAAUAAGCGGAGGA